rnacentral:lncRNA from 1 species
AUGAAGUUCAAUCCCUUCGUUACCUCGGACCGCAGUAAAAACCGCAAACGUUACUUCAAUGCCCCCUCACACGUGCGCAGGAAGAUCAUGUCAUCCCCGCUCUCCAAGGAGCUGCGGCAGAAGUACAAUGUCCGCUCCAUGCCCAUCCGCAAGGACGACGAGGUCCAGGUAGUUCGAGGACACUACAAAGGUCAGCAAAUUGGCAAGGUAAUCCAGGUGUACAGAAAGAAAUAUGUCAUCUACAUCGAGCGGGUGCAGCGUGAGAAGGCCAACGGCACGACUGUCCACGUGGGCAUUCACCCAAGCAAGGUGGUUAUCACCAGGCUAAAACUGGACAAGGAUCGGAAAAAAAUUCUUGAACGCAAAGCCAAGUCUCAACAAGUUGGAAAAGAGAAAGGCAAAUAUAAAGAAGAACUUAUUGAGAAAAUGCAGGAA